AAUGGCUCACCAAGGCGACGAUCCGUAGCUGGUCUGAGAGGAUGAUCAGCCACAUCGGGACUGAGACACGGCCCGAACUCCUACGGGAGGCAGCAGUGGGGAAUAUUGGACAAUGGGCGAAAGCCUGAUCCAGCCAUGCCGCGUGUGUGAAGAAGGCUUUCGGGUUGUAAAGCACUUUCAGUGAGGAAGAAGGCCUUGGGGCUAAUACCCCCGAGGAAGGACAUCACUCACAGAAGAAGCACCGGCUAACUCCGUGCCAGCAGCCGCGGUAAUACGGAGGGUGCGAGCGUUAAUCGGAAUUACUGGGCGUAAAGCGCGCGUAGGCGGCGUGAUAAGCCGGUUGUGAAAGCCCCGGGCUCAACCUGGGAACGCAUCCGGAACUGUCAGGCUAGAGUGCAGGAGAGGAAGGUAGAAUUCCCGGUGUAGCGGUGAAAUGCGUAGAGAUCGGGAGGAAUACCAGUGGCGAAGGCGGCCUUCUGGACUGACACUGACGCUGAGGUGCGAAACGUGGGUAGCAAACAGGAUUAGAUACCCUGGUAGUCCACGCCGUAAACGAUGUCGACUAGCCGUUGGGGUCCUUGAGACCUUUGUGGCGCAGUUAACGCGAUAAGUCGACCGCCUGGGGAGUACGGCCGCAAGGUUAAAACUCAAAUGAAUUGACGGGGGCCCGCACAAGCGGUGGAGCAUGUGGUUUAAUUCGAUGCAACGCGAAGAACCUUACCUACCCUUGACAUCGUGCGAACUUUCCAGAGAUGGAUUGGUGCCUUCGGGAGCGCA
rnacentral:rRNA from 1 species